rnacentral:other from 1 species
UCUACCCUGCGAUGUACGUAAUUUGGGCACAAUGUAAAACCAACACAUUUUCAAAGGGAUUUUCUCUCCGGAUGCGGCGCACAUGCCUCCCACAGAUUUCUGCGGCCAGUGGACUUGUAAUGUAUUCGGGAUUUAGCCCACCUGCCAUGCAGGUUUUUACCUUGACCCACCUACGGCAUAGGCGGGGCUUUG